CUUUAAUUUGAAUGCCAGCAACAGAAAGAAAGAGACGUGAAGGAGCACGGAGAGGGAGUACAGAUACAAGCUGAAAAUCCCAAGACAUCCAGAACUUCUGACUGACUAACUCUGGAUCCAAGGAGUUCUUCCUGUGACUAAUGG
rnacentral:lncRNA from 14 species